ensembl:lncRNA
GUGCCCUCCACUGCACCACUGUGGGGAUGACAUUGCACAAUAAACAAUCAUCAAUAGAGAGGAUAUACAUGACAUUAAAAGGAAUUGAGCCGCGGUCUCCAGUGGGUUAGGCAGAGUGCACUCUACUGCACCACUGAGGGGAUGACAAUACACAAUAAUCAAUCAUCAAUAAAGAAGAUAUACAUGACAUUAAAAUAGGAAAUCAACCGGACUUGAACCCCGGUCUCCAGGGGGUUAGCUCACAGCUCCCUCCACUUCCCACUGUUAGGCAGAGUGCCCUCCACUGCACCACUGUGGGGAUGACAUUGCACAAUAAACAAUCAUCAAUAGAGAGGAUAUACAUGACAUUAAAAGAAAUUGAGCCGCGUCCUCCAGUGGGUAAGGCAGAGUGCACUCC